AAUGAACGUUGGCGGCGUGGAUUAGGCAUGCAAGUCGUACGGGUCGGUGUAGCAAUACAACGGCAAGUGGCGAAAGGGAGAGUAACACGUAGAUACCUACCCUCUGGUCGGGGAUACCGCGGCAUAACCGCAAGUAAUACCCGAUAAAAUCUCCGGAUCAAAGGUGGGAUUCCGCCGGAGGAGGGGUCUGCGUUCUAUCAGCUUGUUGGUGAGGUAAUGGCUCACCAAGGCUAAGACGGAUACGGGGUGUGAGAGCAUACCCCCGCUCACUGGGACUGAGACACUGCCCAGACACCUACGGGUGGCUGCAGUCGAGAAUCUUCGGCAAUGGGCGCAAGCCUGACCGAGCGACGCCGCGUGCGGGAUGAAGGCCUUCGGGUUGUAAACCGCUGUCGAGGGGAAUGAAGUGUAGGUGGGUACUCCCAUCUAUUUGACAGAUCCCUGGAGGAAGCAUGGGCUAAGUUCGUGCCAGCCGCCGCCGUAA
rnacentral:rRNA from 1 species